rnacentral:rRNA from 1 species
GAUGAACGCUGGCGGCGUGCCUAACACAUUCAAGUCGAACGGGCAGUAGCGAUACUGUCAGUGGCGGACGGGUGAGUAAUACAUGAGCAACCUGCCUUAAAGAGGGGGAUAACACUGGGAAACCGGUGCUAAUACCGCAUGACGCAAAGAGGAGGCAUCUCCUUUAUGCCAAAGGAGCAAUCCGCUUUAAGAUGGGCUCAUGUCUGAUUAGAUAGUUGGUAGGGUAACGGCCUACCAAGUCUACGAUCAGUAGCCGGACUGAGAGGUCGGACGGCCACAUUGGAACUGAGAUACGGUCCAGACUCCUACGGGAGGCAGCAGUGGGGAAUAUUGGGCAAUGGGCGAAAGCCUGACCCAGCGACGCCGCGUGAGGGAAGAAGGUCUUCGGGAUUGUAAACCUCUGUUGACAGGGACGAAGGAAGUGACGGUACCUGUUGAGGAAGCCACGGCUAACUACGUGCCAGCAGCCGGGUAAACAUACUCGUA